GACGAACGCUGGCGGCGUGCUUAACACAUGCAAGUCGAACGGAAAGGCCCUGCUUUUGUGGGGUGCUCGAGUGGCGAACGGGUGAGUAACACGUGAGUAACCUGCCCUUGACUUUGGGAUAACUUCAGGAAACUGGGGCUAAUACCGGAUAGGAGCUCCUGCUGCAUGGUGGGGGUUGGAAAGUUUCGGCGGUUGGGGAUGGACUCGCGGCUUAUCAGCUUGUUGGUGGGGUAGUGGCUUACCAAGGCUUUGACGGGUAGCCGGCCUGAGAGGGUGACCGGCGACAUUGGGACUGAGAGACGGCCCAGAAUCCUACGGGAGGCAACAGUGGGGAAUAUUGCACAAUGGGCGGAAGCCUGAGGCAGAAACGCCGCGUGCGGGAUGACGGCCUUCGGGUUGUAAACCGCUUUCGCCUGAGACGAAGCGUGAGUGACGGUAAUGGGUAAAGAAGCACCGGCUAACUACGUG
rnacentral:rRNA from 1 species